rnacentral:lncRNA from 1 species
AAAGGAAAACAAAAAAGAAAAAUAAAAGAAGAAACAGGAAAAAGAAAAAGGAAACAAAAAGAAAAAGAAAACAGGAAACAGAAAAAAGGAAAAAAGAAAAAUAAAAGAAGAAACAGGAAAAAGAAAAAAGAAACAAAAAGAAAAAGAAAACAGGAAACAGAAAAAAGGAAAAAAGAAAAAUAAAAGAAGAAACAGGAAAAAGAAAAAGGAAAAAAAAGAAAAAGAAAACAGGAAACAGAAAAAAAGGAAAAAAGAAAAAGGAAAAAAACC